CCUACGGGUGGCAGCAGUGAGGAAUAUUGGUCAAUGGACGCAAGUCUGAACCAGCCAUGCCGCGUGCAGGAAGACGGCUCUAUGAGUUGUAAACUGCUUUUGUACGAGGGUAAAUCCCGAUACGUGUAUCGGUUUGAAAGUAUCUUACGAAUAAGGAUCGGCUAACUCCGUGCCAGCAGCCGCGGUAAUACGGAGGAUUCAAGCGUUAUCCGGAUUUAUUGGGUUUAAAGGGUGCGUAGGUGGUUCGAUAAGUCAGAGGUGAAAUCCCGGGGCUCAACUCCGGCACUGCCUUUGAUACUGGCGGGCUUGAGUAGAGUUGCGGUAGGCGGAAUGUAUGGUGUAGCGGUGAAAUGCAUAGAGAUCAUGCAGAACCCCGAUUGCGAAGGCAGCUUACCAAACUACGACUGACGUUGAGGCACGAAAGCGUGGGGGGCAAACAGGAUUAGAUACCCCAGUAGUC
rnacentral:rRNA from 1 species